rnacentral:rRNA from 1 species
AUUUUAGUCUUAUUAGAGGAACCUGUUUUGUAAUUGAUAAUCCACGAUUAAUUUUACUUAUUUUUAUAAUUCAUAUAUCGCUGUCAUGAAUAUAUUAAAAAAUUUAUUUUCUUAAUUUAUUAUAAUAAUUUAUGUUAAGUCAAGAUGUGGUUAAUAAAUAAGUAUAUAAUGGGUUACAUUAAUUUUUAUUUUUGGAUUUUAAAUGAAAAUUAAAAUGAAAUUGGAUUUAAUAGUAAAUUUAUUUAUUUAAUUAGUAUGAAGAAAGAUCUAAAAUAUGUACAUAUUGCCCGUCAUUCUUAUUAAAAAUAAGACAAGUCGUAACAAAGUAAAUGUACUGGAAAGUGUAUUUAGAAAGAAAAUAAAUAUCUAAAU